UCAUAAUAAAAUAAAAUAAAUGAUCCCCUAAUGCAUUUUAGGGUUUUCUUGCCGGCAGCUGUUGCAAUUACAAUUGGAUCAGGCUGUGAAGGAUCUGAAUGCACCAAAACCAUAGAGGUAUGUACCAGAACGGUAGACUCUGGGAAUACGAUCCAGCAGAACGCUGAUUACCUGAACCAGUUCAAAGAGAUGAACUCUCCUGCUGGGGACAGAAAACAUUGUGAUACGGGCUUGGUCUUACCCUUCAUCAGCCUCACUGGAAGUCCAAAGCAGAGGCGAAACUGUUGUAAAAAUGGUGGCGCCUGUAUUUUGGCGUGCGGCGGGCAUCCGUCAUUGGCCGGAGCUGUGAAUACGACGAACGCGUCGGAAUGGCUACUCAUACUGCAGGUGUGGAUUUGGGGUCCUGCACUGUUUCCCUCAGGUGUUCCAUGAGGACUGUGAUAAACGAUUAGACCAGCCAAUUUUUCACCAGCGUUGACGUUCCAGGACAGUUGAGGGAGUUAUUUGUGGAGGAGAGACGGUCCUAUCUGGACUUGAUAAGACAACAUGAAAGAUGCUUCCGUAUCACCUCUGUAAGUGGCAACCCUUAGUCACUGGGCAUGAACUCAGUGCUUCAAGUGGCUGAAUUCUACAGUAAGUUGUGCUUCUCUUAGCAAGGUUAAUAGGGGGUUUCGGAACUUAGCUGCCCUCCUCUAACCUCACCUCACAAACCCAUUUAGAAUUKUGAAAUAAGCCCUUUGUCUUUGGUGAAUUAAUAUAGGCCAUAUUGGAUCUAAUUCAGUGCACAUUAUAUUUUCUUGUGAAAGCACAUCAAAAUGUUUGAUUUUCAGAAGAGAAAAUGAUGCAAAUGCUGUAUUAAUGCUUCUCUUUCAAAUUGUAAUGCGUUUUUAAUCGGAUCCAUUUAUGAGAGAGAAAGGGUAGCAUCUAAAUCUCUCUCUCACACCCUCUUUUCAUCCCUAUCCUCUCACUCUCUUUUUCUGGAAGGAUCAGAGUGUCCAUCCAUUGUGACAGAGUGACAGUGGUGUAUGUAUCUGUUCUGUGGCAGUAAACAGAGGCAGAGMUUUGUAAACAGACCGGCUGGCAGCCAGGGGAUGGGAUGGGGCUGGCCGGUGGGAGUUCAUCAGGCGCGGGGUCUGAUKGUGCGUCCCAAAUGGCACCCUAUUGCCUAUAUAGUGCACUACUUUGACAUGGGUCCAUAGGGUUUUGGUUUUUAAAAAAUGCACACUACAUAGGCAAUAGGGUACUAUAUAGGAAAAAGUGUGCCACUUGGGAUGCACUUUAAGACGGGAWUCUAAACAACACAAGGAGGAGAGGAUGGGAUAGCAGGGGAGUGCURUGUGACUUACACCCACACAGCAGACAACAUUAUACAUCACACUGGCAGGGGACGUAUUUACCCUUAACAAGCUGCUGGGGAAGGGGUUGGAGAGGUUAGAGAGAGAGGAGAGCGAGGGCGGGGGGGGUGUAACCUAUAAUGAAAUUAAACACUUUUCCAAGAUACUGUACUGGAAUCUGUUUAUGACCGCCCCCCCUCCUCUUGCUAUCCCCUUUCUCUGAGGGUGAGGUCUUUAUCUGUGCUCCCCUCCUUGAGGGUCCAUGCCAGGCCCUGGCAAUACUCCUCCUCAGGGCCAUCUGGUUUCCUUCAAGAUGCCAGCGGCUCCAGAGAAGAGGACCGUCCAGGGGAGGAAGAGAGAAGACCAGAAGGCUGUCACCAAUUCUUAACCCCUGUAUAGACAGAGACUUGUCAAAGAAACGCAAUUUGAUGUUAUUUUAAAGGACAAAGAAAUGUGCUUUUCUUUCAAAAACAAGAACAUUUCUAAGUGACCCCAAACUUUUGAACAGUAGUGUAUAUUUGACAAGCACGUCCCUUAUUCCACCACUUGGCACUGUGCGUACGCAUGGGCACGACUGUACAUACAUUUAUGCACACUCUCAUGCAAACGGUCAUAUUGAUACAUCUCCCUCUUUGCGUGGAAUUUAUUUCAGGCAUGGUUAACACACAGAUGUGUGCCUAUGCAUGAUUGGUAAAUGAAACUCUGGUCUGCCCUAGAAAGCCUAUGUAAAUGACGGUCGCCAGAACAGCGAAACAAAAUCAAAUAAAUGAGCCAAAUCAUAGGAAUACGUGGAUGAUUUCAGCGCUAUCACUAUCUACUGGUUUUAAUGUAUAUGGUAUUGUCAGACGUAAUGAAUAGGCUUGUGGGUAACAUGCUGACCCCACACCACUCGGGUCRCGCACGYGCCAGUGWUGCAAAAUAAAUGUACACAUACAUGUUAUUCAAUCAUUGCACCCACACUGCUCGYGCGCCUCAGCGAGCGUCUGCGUGGCCAGGCGUUAAAAUAGAAAUUGCUUCUAUUUGUGACGCUCAACACGCUGCAAGUCCGGCCUCUCCYAUCUCCUCAUUGGUUUUUAAGAGCAUAUACCCACGUGRGUGAUUGAAAGAUGAACUUAGGUCCACACUCCGGUCGGUUGUGGUAAUGCUGUAAAGUUGGCUGCCAGCCGCCAUAUAAAGUCCAAGGAAGAAAAAGAAGCCUGAAGGAAGGAGAUGACUAGAAACAAAUUCGG